GCAAACUUGGUCAUUUAGAGGAAGUAAAAGUCGUAACAAGGUUUCCGUAGGUGAACCUGCGGAAGGAUCAUUACUGCCGUUGGGACGCUGUGCUCUGCAUGGCGUGCCUUCUAUGCGGCCACCCGUGUUUACCUGACCUUUUGUUGCUUCGGCGGUGCCUUCCAACGCUCGCUUGGUACCGUGCCCGCCAGGAAGCUAACGCAGAACCUGUAUACUAUGAACGAUUGUCUGAGUGGGUUGAUGGAAUUAGUUAAAACUUUCAACAAUGGAUCUCUUGGUUCCGGCAUCGAUGAAGAACGCAGC
rnacentral:misc_RNA from 1 species